AGUGAACGCUGGCGGUAGGCCUAACACAUGCAAGUCGAACGGCAGCACAGUAAGAGCUUGCUCUUACGGGUGGCGAGUGGCGGACGGGUGAGGAAUACAUCGGAAUCUACUUUUUCGUGGGGGAUAACGUAGGGAAACUUACGCUAAUACCGCAUACGACCUACGGGUGAAAGCAGGGGAUCUUCGGACCUUGCGCGAUUGAAUGAGCCGAUGUCGGAUUAGCUAGUUGGCGGGGUAAAGGCCCACCAAGGCGACGAUCCGUAGCUGGUCUGAGAGGAUGAUCAGCCACUCUGGAACUGAGACACGGUCCAGACUCCUACGGGAGGCAGCAGUGGGGAAUAUUGGACAAUGGGCGCAAGCCUGAUCCAGCCAUACCGCGUGGGUGAAGAAGGCCUUCGGGUUGUAAAGCCCUUUUGCUGGGAAAGAAAAGCAGCAGGUUAAUACCCCGCUGUUCUGACGGUACCCAAAGAAUAAGCACCGGCUAACUUCGUG
rnacentral:rRNA from 1 species